UACGAAGGGGGCUAGCGUUGCUCGGAAUCACUGGGCGUAAAGGGUGCGUAGGCGGGUCUUUAAGUCAGGGGUGAAAUCCUGGAGCUCAACUCCAGAACUGCCUUUGAUACUGAAGAUCUUGAGUUCGGGGAGAGGUGAGUGGAACUGCGAGUGUAGAGGUGAAAUUCGUAGAUAUUCGCAAGAACACCAGUGGCGAAGGCGCUCACUGGCCCGAUACUGACGCUGAGGCACGAAAGCGUGGGGAGCAAACAGGG
rnacentral:rRNA from 1 species